rnacentral:rRNA from 1 species
GACGAACGCUGGCGGCGUGCUUAACACAUGCAAGUCGAACGGAAAGGCCCUGCUUUUGUGGGGUGCUCGAGUGGCGAACGGGUGAGUAACACGUGAGUAACCUGCCCUUGACUUUGGGAUAACUUCAGGAAACUGGGGCUAAUACCGGAUAGGAGCUCCUGCUGCAUGGUGGGGGUUGGAAAGUUUCGGCGGUUGGGGAUGGACGCGCGGCUUAUCAGCUUGUUGGUGGGGUAGUGGCUUACCAAGGCGUUGACGGGUAGCCGGCCUGAGAGGGUGACCGGCCACAUUGGGACUGAGAUACGGCCCAGACUCCUACGGGAGGCAGCAGUGGGGAAUAGUGCACAAUGGGCGGAAGCCUGAUGCAGCAACGCCGCGUGCGGGAUGACGGCCUUCGGGUUGUAAACCGCUUUCGCCUGUGACGAAGCGUGAGUGACGGUAAUGGGUAAAGAAGCACCGGCUAACUACGUG